rnacentral:rRNA from 1 species
GUUUUUCGCUUGAGGAUGAGCCCAUGUGGGAUUAGCUAGUUGGUGAGGUAAUGGCUCACCAAGGCAACGAUCUCUAACUGGUCUGAGAGGAUGAUCAGUCACACUGGAACUGAGACACGGUCCAGACUCCUACGGGAGGCAGCAGUAGGGAAUAUUGCGCAAUGGAGGAAACUCUGACGCAGCGACGCCGCGUGAGUGAUGAAGGCCUUCGGGUCGUAAAGCUCUGUCGCAGGGGAAUAACACAAUG